CCUCACAGGGAACAAUUUCUUCCCAGGAUCCCAUCUAAUCUUGCCCUCUGUGGUGGGUCCUGUGCCACAUCAAAGGCCCCUAGAGCUGCAGGUGUUUGCAUUAACCUGCUGCAGCUGCUCAGGGAACAGACUCGAGGGUUCUGCUACGACUGCCUGGCAGAUUCUGUCCUGGCAGCUCACCCAGAGGAGCUCACAUGGAGGAGCAGAGGAUCCCAGGAGCUGUGCAGGGAGGGUCCUUAGGAUGGGCAGAGCCCCUGAGGACCAGGGGGGCAGUGGGAGACCCCCCAGCAGCAACAGGCUGCUGCCCACAGGGCUUGUGGCUCCCUGUGGGAUCCCAGGGCAGGUGGGACUGCUCUGGGCUGUGUGGGAAGGAGGGACUGGGGGGAAGAGCAAGUGCAGGAAACAGACAGCAACGGGCCAGUUGUGUGUAAAAGAAAAAAGAGAAGAAGAAAUAACAGCUCACCACAGAUGCUCUUCUUUUCCAGCAGUUGGCCGAGUCUGUGGCUCUUUCUGUUGCACAGGGAGAGCCCACCUUUCCAUCAGUGUUUUACAGCCCAGGGACUUCACUCCUGCAGGAGCAGCCACAGACACAGACUCUCUCCAGAGACUCGUAUCUGCUCUGAGAAUCCUCAGCAGAGCCAUCCUGGGGGAACCGGGAGCCACAGGCCAAAGCCCUGCAGUGCUCCAAGACCCCAGGGAAAAAUGUCCUUUCCCACCCCACCUUCCUCAUCUCCCCUUCCAGGAAAGAACCAAGGACCAGGAGCAUAGCUGUGUUUUCCAGUCUUUUAGUUUGAAAAAAGUAUUGAUUGAAAGUGUACAACCGAACACGGCGUGGCCUCAGCACCACCGCCAGAUUGUUUCACAAAUAAAAACAGAAAGGGCCUUAAAUAAUCGGGUGCAGAUUAAAAAAACCUCAACAGUGAAAAAGUUCUUCCCUCCGAACAGAAAUUCACAGGCACAGAAAUGGCAACAACCACAUGGAGACAAUGGGGGGACAUCCUCCUCCUCCUCCUCACCACGGGCUCUGCGCUGUGGCGCUCCCGGGCGCAGCUCCGUCCUCGCUCCCUCUUUGGAAUGGUUACGGAUGAACAGUGCGACAUGCCCUCGCUAACCACACCCGCCCCCCACCCCCCGACCAGGACACGGACAAACAAGGCCUCUACUAAGGCUAAAAAAAGGACAAGACUUGGAGUCUUGAGUUCAGCAUGGGAUAAUGAUUUCAGUGGUUUGGGUCCUUCUGCAGAAGUACAGAUGACCAAGUGGGUUCAAACUACCAUGAAGCCAGGUCCCCAGGAAGCAACACACCGAGGUCCCUCAAGAGACAGAGAGCAGGAAAGGCCCUGUUCCCAAAGGCAGCAGUCUGGUUUUGGGACAGUUUAUAUGAGCUGGUUUCUGAUAACCCAGCUACUGGCACUACAGCCUGGGAGGUGCUAGGUGCUGCUUUCCACUGGUGUCCAACUGCUUCAUGGCCAUUUUCUCCAAUCAGACUGAAAUCUCCCAUCAAAU